rnacentral:rRNA from 1 species
GAACGCUGGCGGCGUGCUUAACACAUGCAAGUCGUACGGUAAGGCCCUUUCGGGGGUACACGAGUGGCGAACGGGUGAGUAACACGUGAGUAACCUGCCCACAACUUUGGGAUAACGCUAGGAAACUGGUGCUAAUACUGGAUAUGUGCUCCUGCUGCAUGGUGGGGGUUGGAAAGCUCCGGCGGUUGUGGAUGGACUCGCGGCCUAUCAGCUUGUUGGUGGGGUAGUGGCCUACCAAGGCGGCGACGGGUAGCCGGCCUGAGAGGGUGACCGGCCACAUUGGGACUGAGAUACGGCCCAGACUCCUACGGGAGGCAGCAGUGGGGAAUAUUGCACAAUGGGCGCAAGCCUGAUGCAGCAACGCCGCGUGCGGGAUGACGGCCUUCGGGUUGUAAACCGCUUUCAGCAGGGACGAAGCUUUUUGUGACGGUACCUGCAGAAGAAGCACCGGCUAACUACGUG